GAUGAACGCUGGCGGCGUGCCUAAUACAUGCAAGUCGAGCGAACAGACGAGGAGCUUGCUCCUCUGACGUUAGCGGCGGACGGGUGAGUAACACGUGGAUAACCUACCUAUAAGACUGGGAUAACUUCGGGAAACCGGAGCUAAUACCGGAUAAUAUGUUGAACCGCAUGGUUCAACAGUGAAAGACGGUCUUGCUGUCACUUAUAGAUGGAUCCGCGCUGCAUUAGCUAGUUGGUAAGGUAACGGCUUACCAAGGCAACGAUGCGUAGCCGACCUGAGAGGGUGAUCGGCCACACUGGAACUGAGACACGGUCCAGACUCCUACGGGAGGCAGCAGUAGGGAAUCUUCCGCAAUGGGCGAAAGCCUGACGGAGCAACGCCGCGUGAGUGAAGAAGGUCUUCGGAUCGUAAAACUCUGUUAUUAGGGAAGAACAAAUGUGUAAGUAACUAUGCACAUCUUGACGGUACCUAAUCAGAAAGCCACGGCUAACUACGUG
rnacentral:rRNA from 1 species